GGCUUUGUAGCUCAGCUGGUAGAGCGCUUGUCGCAUUUUUGCAUGCUGUUUCUGUCGCUUGUUCUAAUCCAGCCGAAGCCU